rnacentral:rRNA from 1 species
UACGUAGGGGGCUAGCGUUGUCCGGAAUCAUUGGGCGUAAAGCGCGUGUAGGCGGCUCGGUAAGUCCGCUCUGAAAGCCCGGGGCUCAACCCCGGGAGGCGGGUGGAUACUGCCGGGCUAGAGUCCGGAAGAGGCGAGUGGAAUUCCUGGUGUAGCGGUGAAAUUCGUAGAUAUUCGGAGGAACACCAGUGGCGAAGGCGGCUCACUGGUCCGGUACUGACGCUGAGGUGCGAAAGCGUGGGGAGCAAACAGG